ensembl:lncRNA
CGAAAUUCUGAUUAACGUUACCAGUAUGCGAGAAAUUGGUUUGGAAGAAAUAUAUCUGAAAGCUGUUUUUGAAGUAGGGGUAAGUGAGAAAGGAAAACUCUGUCUUUUUAAAUUUUUAAGAGACACUGGACUGUAUAAAAGAAUGUAGGGCAAUUGUGUAAUAGAUCCAUAGAUGGCAGCAAUGCCAACUUAUUGGAUGCCGGUUACCGUAAAAUCCCAUAGAAGAAGAAGAAGACCUUUACCAGUAAAGAAGGAUGAACUUUUGGGUGCACACUCUAGAAAUAUACUCUUAAAAGGUUUCUCCCUAUCUCUUAGCUCCUGGCUGCUAAAAGUCACAAGCUCUUACGGUGUUUUUUUGAAGAUUAAACCCUUUGUAAACAUCAGUUCCUGAGAGUAAAGAGCAUCUGUUCAGCUGGAAAGCGCUUUACCUAGAAAAAACAACAGCCUCACUUCAUCAGUCCUACCACACAUCUGAAAGCUAUUUAAUGACAACCAAAGGACUUGGUGGGAUGAUCUAAGUCGGUGGCACUUCUUUAAAGAAAAUGGAUGCUUCUGAAAAUAAAGAACCAGACCAGCAUGUGGAGGCCCCUUAUAAUGGAACGGAAGAGGAGGAGCUUCAUCGAUCUGGACAACAACGGAAAAGAUGUGUGUAUUUAAAGAAGGUGAGGCCCUGAAAAAGGAGAAAAGAUUGAUUCAGCUGUACGAACAAUGGAAGGACCUGGCUCGCAACACAAGGGAAGGGCUAAAAACAGACGUUAGUGAGAGCCAACUGGCGCUUAUUAAUACACUUGAAAAGGGCAGGGAUGAUGUCAUGCACGUCUACCUGGAAAUUAGAGAUUACAUCGCUCCAUCCAGCUGAAUUAGCAGCCAAAGAAGCGGAAUACUCGAUACAAGAGAUCGAAGCUCAGAAGUUUGAACUGGAAAAACUUAAGGCAGAGAAGGAUCUAAAAGCAGCUAGAGCCAGACUGCAGGCCUAUGAUCAAGAAAUGGCACAAGAAGACAGCAUUCAUUCUUCAGAUUCAAAUUUAGGGGAACAGCAGGAUGAAUGAUAAUGAGGCGUAUAAUGAUGUGUGGAACAAGCUGAACCAACAGUAUGGACAGCCAUUUGUUAUACAGAAGGCAUUCAGGGAAAAACAAGCCAAAUGGCCUAAGAUUCAGCCUAGGGAUGCUGAAGGAAAUAUUAAAUGACUGUGAUGAAAAUCAGAAACUUGUACACAAAUUACCAGAUUGGGCAGCAGCAUGUUGGAACCAUCAGGUCAUGCAGCCACUGAUUGAGACUGAUUGACUUUCCAAAGUUUAUAGAUUUUGUGACCUUCAUGUCGAUGGAAGCAGAGAUUACUUGUAAUCCUGUAACCUCCUUCAGUGCUCUUCGUGCCUCUGACCCCACUUCAGAAAAUCGGAAUCUUACGGACAGUAAAAGGAACAGGGUUAACGUCUUUCACAUUCAAACAGCCACAGAAAAUAAAGAAAAUUAUAAAAAUUAACAAAAACCCAGUAAAGGGAAUUUCAAAAUGUGUUUCUUCUGCAAGGACAGCAAGCAUAAGAUUCACAACUGUCCUAAAUUUGUGGCAAAAUCCUUAGAAGAGACACGGAAAUAUGUGAAGGAUAACAAGCUCUGCUAUGGUUGCAUGAAACCAGGCCACAGCGCAAAAGACUGCCGUCACCGUCUGUCCUGUGACACAUGUAGAGGUAGAUGAAAACAUGAUGAAAACUAUACAAAGAAAGUCAACUCUGCACCAGUUUCAAACUAAGGUGACACAGAGAUAACUACUUCUACAUCUCACAAAGUAGAGAAUAAUGAGCCAUCUACCAAUACUUCAAUGAUCGUGCCAGUAUGGGUGUCAACCAAAAGGAAUCCGGGCUCUGAAAAACUUGUUUAUGCUCUGCUUGACACCCAGAGUGAUACUGUGUUUGUCGACAGAGAGCUGAGCAUCAGGUUACAAGCUGACUCCUGUCCUGUGAGACUGAAGUUGACAACCAUGACUGCAAAGGAUGUUGUCAUGUCGAGUGAAAGGGUGUCAGGUCUUAAAGUAAGAGGGUACAGCUCCUCCGUUGUCCUCAACCUGCCCCCUGCCUACACUAAGGACUCUAUUCCAGUGAAACGUACUCAUAUCCCUACUUGUGUCACAGCACGACAUUGGAAGCAUCUCUCUACAAUAGUGGAUAAAAUUCCAGCUCUGCAGGUUUGUGAGGAUGGUCUCCUGAUAGGCUACAACUGUCCAAAGGCUUUGGCACCAAAACAGGUGAUUUUAGGAGGAGACGAUGAACCUUAUGCAGUCCAUACAGACCUAGGAUGGAGCAUUGUUGGCCGCCUGUCUUCACACAAUGAAUCACAAAGCUUCAACACCAUCUGACAUAGAGUCAGCAUAAAAGAGCUCCCUCCAGUGACCCCAGCAGAUGUUAUUAAAUUAUUGCAGUCUGACUUCAAAGACGCUGGUGAAGAUCAUAAAACUGUGUCACAGGAUGACAUCCUCUUUUUGACCAAACUGCAGCAAGGCAUAAGGAAGAAUGACCACGGGCAUUAUGAGGUGCCUCUUCCCUUCAAAAGAA